UUAAGUCUUGACGAGUAAGAGGGUCGCGACGGUGAGCGCAGAAGGGUCAGGGCGAGAGCCUGCCUGGAGCCGCCGUUGGUGCAGAUCUUGGUGGUAGUAGCAAAUACUCUAGCGAGGGCCUGGAGGACUGACGUGGAGAAGGGUUUCUUGUGAACAGCCGUUGCACAAGAGUCAGUCGACCCUGAGCCCUAGGAGAAAUCCGAUGACGAUGGGUGGCUUGACAAUAUAUGCGCACACACAAGUACAACAUGAUAUGUUGUUGCUCUGUGUAGACACAUUUCAAUCACAGACCACAGACUGUGUCUGUCGUUUAGUUAUGCACAAUGUGCUGCUUACGACUGAACAGCUCCUAUUGGGCAAAAGGGAAUCCGGUUCCUAUUCCGGAACCUGGCUGCGUAACCGUAUCUUUGCGGGCACUUGCUCGCAAGCGCUCGUCGGGGUAACCCAAACUGGCCUGGAGACGCCGGCGGGGGGUCUGGAAAGAGUUUUCUUUUCUUUAUAAGCGUUCGAGUACCCUGGAAUCCUAUAGCAGGGAGAUAGGGUUUGGAACGCGAAGAGCACCGCAGUUGCGGCGGUGUCCGGACCUUCCCCCCAGACCUUGAAAAUCCAGGUGAGGGCCACGCGGAAGUCGCGCCAG
rnacentral:rRNA from 1 species